GCGCACGGGUGCGGAACGCGUAUGGAACCUGCCCCUGUCAGGGGAAUAGCCCAGGGAAACUUGGAUUAAUGCCCCAUGGUACCGUGAUAUCGCAUGAUAUUGCGGUUAAAGAUUUAUCGGACAGGGAUGGCCAUGCGUACCAUUAGUUAGUUGGUGAGGUAACGGCUCACCAAGGCAGCGAUGGUUAGGGGCCCUGAGAGGGGGAUCCCCCACACUGGUACUGAGACACGGACCAGACUCCUACGGGAGGCAGCAGUGAGGAAUAUUGGACAAUGGGCGGGAGCCUGAUCCAGCCAUGCCGCGUGCAGGAUGACGGCCCUAUGGGUUGUAAACUGCUUUUAUACGGGAAGAAACGCGCCCACGUGUGGGCGUUUGACGGUACCGUAAGAAUAAGGACCGGCUAACUCCGUGCCAGCAGCCGCGGUAAUACGGAGGGUCCGAGCGUUAUCCGGAAUCAUUGGGUUUAAAGGGUCCGUAGGCGGGCCUGUAAGUCAGGGGUGAAAGUUUGUGGCUCAACCAUAAAAUUGCCUUUGAUACUGCAGGUCUUGAGUCAUGGUGGGGUUGCCGGAACAUGUGGUGUAGCGGUGAAAUGCAUAGAUAUCACAUAGAACACCGAUCGCGAAGGCAGGUGACCAACCAUGUACUGACGC
rnacentral:rRNA from 1 species